AUAGGGUAUUGGGGGUGGGGUAGAUGAUUUUGAGAAUUGUAUGAACAUUUUAACUUUAAAGUGAGGUUGAAAGAGAGUUUUAAAAAUGUUUUCCUUACUUUUUGAAGGGAAGUCAUUUUCCUUAGAUUUAAGGAAAAUAAGUUGGUUUGGAAAACAUUUGUUAAAACAUAUUAGCCAACCUAACAUAAGAAAACUGGAAAAAUGUUUUCCUUCAUACCAAACACACCCUAAUAUGUUAAUAUUUUUUAGACUAAGCGGGUUAAGUUGGGUGGGUCACGACCCAACCCGAUUUUUACCCAUUUCAACCCAAAGUGAAUUUGGCCGGGUCAUGACCCAACCCGAUAUCCAAUUCAACCCAUUUAAUAUCUUCAUUCUCAGCCCAACCUGCCCAUUUGACACCCCUAGUAGUAGGUAAUUAGUUGAGGCGUCCAAGUUAGCCUGGAGCCCCGUACAUCACGGUUUUAAAAUAAAAGCUGCUCUAGACGCCACUAUCAUAGAAUAGUAAAUAAUAUCCAUGAUAAUGAAUAUUGCCCAAGCAGUGGCCUUGAGUGACCUACUUCUUGAGGAAUAUUUUAAAAACAAUUUGCUAGGUUCUUCUUCGGUGGGUUUGUGGGUUGGGCUAAUCUUGAUUUCUGCUAGGAAUCACAUAUAUUUUCUUGUAUAUCUCAUUUUUGAUGUUUUGUUUGAGCUAAAGAAUCACUGCUAGUGCAACCUAAAAUUCUCGUAGAUAAUUUUUUUUUAUUUAUUUUUUUUUUUUUUACAUUUUGAUUUGUAUGAAGUUGAAUCUAUAUUUAGUGGAAUAUUAAUGAGAACUAAGAGAAGAACGAGUGAUGCUAGAAGUUCUUAAAAUCCAUGGGUGAGUCCUCUGAAGCUGCUAUGCGAGUUGAGAAGUAGCACAUCUUUUAAAAGAAGCUUCAGGAUAUAUCCGUAAAGGAGUGAGUUACAUGAUAUUGCAUUGUUAGGGGAUCUGUGGGGUAAUUUUACGUUUUUAAAUGUAAUAAAUUGGACAACGCCAAGAACUGUGAUUGGUUGGUUGCUUGACAUGAAAUGAGAGCUGUAGAAGAAAGCUUAUAAAACCUUUUUUUUCCAUUACUGAUAAAUCCCAGAGGACCCAUGGUGCUCGGUUACCGAGCUUUUGUUUGCGGCACAGUAAGCUACAAAAACCUUUAUUUUCUCAUAUGAUAGUAGAUAAUUAGGAAAGAAUUAGUCUAAAGUUAACUUGCUGUAUAAUUGAUAUUCUUGAUGGAAAGUAGAUAACACAGUAACUUAAUACAGAUUUCUGAGGUUUUCUAUCUGUUGCUUUUGUCGAAAAAGAUAGUGUCAUCAUUCUACGGUCGAAAAGCAGAUACGGCAAGAAUGAAAUGUUUCAUGAGGAAGCUUCCUGUAUUUUGAGAUAGAUUGUAGGUGCUUUUCUAUUCAGCUGUUUAAGAAAAUGCAUCUUCACACUGUUCAUCGAGUUUUCUUUUCUCCAUCCAGCAACAAAAAGCCCCAGGAGGAAUCUGCCAAGCCUCAGGAUGGACCUACGACUAUGCAAGAUGUGGAAAAGAAGAUGUCCGACAUCAAAGUGGAGUGAAGAUCAUAUAUAUAUUAUAUUGGACGUUGAGUUCUGCCACUCCGGGAAUAGCAUCUUUUUGUGAUACCUUUUUGACUACUUAAUUUAUGGUAAUUAUCUGUUAUGACAAAUGCUAUCCUUAAUUUGUUAGUAUCAGAAACUUUACUCAUAUACCAAUGAAUAUGGUUGUAUUAGUCAUACUUUUAGAUAUAUCAAUUUAUGCUCUGUAUUCCUUCA